CUUUUGCGGCAUGGGAUGGGGUCGCGUCCUAUCAGCUUGUUGGCGGGGUGAUGGCCCACCAAGGCGUUGACGGGUAGCCGGCUUGAGAGGGUGACCGGCCACAUUGGGACUGAGAUACGGCCCAGACUCCUACGGGAGGCAGCAGUGGGGAAUAUUGCACAAUGGGCGCAAGCCUGAUGCAGCGACGCCGCGUGCGGGAUGGAGGCCUUCGGGUUGUAAACCGCUUUUGUUCAAGGGCAAGGCACGGUUUCGGCCGUGUUGAGUGGAUUGUUCGAAUAAGCACCGGCUAACUACGUGCCAGCAGCCGCGGUAAUACGUAGGGUGCGAGCGUUAUCCGGAUUUAUUGGGCGUAAAGGGCUCGUAGGCGGUUCGUCGCGUCCGGUGUGAAAGUCCAUCGCCUAACGGUGGAUCUGCGCCGGGUACGGGCGGG
rnacentral:rRNA from 1 species